rnacentral:misc_RNA from 1 species
AAGGAAUAAACUAAACUGUUUACCUCUCUUACAAAUUUUAUUGCUGUAAUCCACUUCAAUGAAACCCUUGGUUCAAUAUAUGGUUCCAGAAGAGUCGGUCUAAGCUCUGAAGUACUGUAUUUAUCACAUGAUUAUGUUUUAUAUGUGAAGUACCAAGCAUAUAAUCAUGGAAAACAAUACCAUACCGAUGCGACGUUAACAAUAAAAUUAAAAAAUCAUGUAUAAUUCCUGUAACUACCU